UACGUAGGGGGCAAGCGUUGUCCGGAAUCAUUGGGCGUAAAGAGCGCGUAGGCGGCCCUGUAAGUCCGCUGUGAAAGUCAAGGGCUCAACCCUUGGAUGCCGGUGGAUACUGCAGGGCUAGAGUCCGGAAGAGGCGAGUGGAAUUCCUGGUGUAGCGGUGAAAUGCGCAGAUAUCAGGAGGAACACCGAUGGCGAAGGCAGGUCUCUGGGCAUUAACUGACGCUGAGGAGCGAAAGCGUGGGGAGCGAACAGG
rnacentral:rRNA from 1 species